GAAUAUUGGACAAUGGGCGAAAGCCUGAUCCAGCGACGCCGCGUGUGUGAAGAAGGCCUGCGGGUUGUAAAGCCCUUUCGCCGGGGACGAUGAUGACGGUACCCGGUGAAGAAGCACCGGCUAACUCCGUGCCAGCAGCCGCGGUAAGACGGAGGGUGCUAGCGUUGUUCGGAAUUACUGGGCGUAAAGGGCGCGUAGGCGGCCUGGGAAGUCGGCUUGUGAAAGCCCGGGGCUCAACCCCGGAGGUGCGGCCGAUACUCCCUGGCUGGAGGCCGGAAGAGGAGGGUGGAAUACCCAGUGUAGAGGUGAAAUUCGUAGAUAUUGGGUGGAACACCGGUGGCGAAAGCGGCUCUCUGGUCCGGACCUGACGCUGAGGCGCGAAAGCGUGGGGAGCAAACAGG
rnacentral:rRNA from 1 species